AGAUCUGUGCUUUUAGAGAAAGAAGCAUAUAUGAUGCACAUUUUCCACUUAUUCUGUGUAUGCUGUGAUUUAAAUGAUAACCUCUCCCUAGCGCUCGCGCCCUGUUCGACGAAAUGCCAAAUGUGUGCUUUUAGAGAAAGAAGCAUAUAUGACGCACAUUUUUCAUUUAUUCUGUGUAUGUUGGGACUUAAAUGAUACCCUCUCCCUAGCGCUCGCACCCUGUUCGACGAAAUGCCAAGGUGAUAGCAGGACGCUUCAUGUGAGCAAUGCUAUAUUUGUAAUUUAUUUUGGAUUGUAGAUCUUACUGGUAGUUAUGUUAAUUUAAAUUUUUAAAAUCUGUUAGUCAGGGAUCACAAUUCUUGAAUCUUCCUACAACCUAGACAACGGCAGAAUCAGGUUAUAAUAAAAUCAAAACAAAGUCAUACAAAAUUAGAAUGCCAAAAAUCUACAUUAAAGUUUGCCAAGUUGCUUAAGGUAAAGUUUUAUCCUGCUCUAUUAAAAGAGAUGUUGGUGUUUCUUUUUUUUUAAUGCUUCAAUUCCUCCGUUAGAACCUCUUCUAUGAUGACUUUUCCUUUAAAUAUCAAACUUGGAUAAUUCAUAGUGUUAUAGUUUCUGUUUUUUUUACUUUUAUUUGGGUACUCCGGCUAAUGCUUCACCAAAACCGAAACAUGGAUAUGAUAAUAAUUAGUUUGAUGAGAGGAUACGAUAGUAUUUAAUCUUAUAUUUUGGUGACCCUAUGAGCAGUUCAGUCCCCUCUAAAGUGAAGUGGUUCUUAUACCCUACAAUUACAUCUUUUAAGCUUAAUUUGUAUUGAGCUAUGCUAAUAUUACAAUAUAAUGCUUUCUAACAGAUAUGUACUAAACUAUGUAGUUUUGUGUAACUAAUUAAUAUCAGUUAGACGAUUUUUUGUGCUUCCAUAAACAGUUCCUGUUUUAGACAGUGCGACAUGGCACCUUCUUGAUGAAAACGAACAACUUCUUAUCCAGAUCACAUCAAAUCUUGAAUUGUUCAAGAUACAGGAGAAUAUGGAUCCUUUUCUUCGCACAAGUAACAACAUCGCAACAAUUUUGAAUAGGUAUGUGCUACCAGUCAUAUCUUCCCAAUCUGUUAGUUGGCAAAAUAUUUGUGCCUGGAAAUGUGCGCGCAAGGGCGAGUAGUGAUUUGAUGAAUAUGGCAACUGUGUAAUGCAGAAUGAGUCAGACUCCUGGGAUUAUGUGUUGGAUGCCUCCUUUGCCCAUUUCACUUAAUGAGGAACAUCUAAAUUCACUUAUCCAAUUUAGCAGAAGGUUAUUUCUAUGGACAAUUUUGCCACGGCAAGCUCUGCUGCGAAGCUUGGCCUUUUUGCCCCAGCAAUGGGCAUCCUUCUCCUUCAAAUCGCUCAAUUCCAUCGAAUGACUCUCAAAUCCCCAAUUUUCACUAAAAUUAAACCUAAUUUGCGUCAAUAUUUUAGGUUUAAUUUUGUUUGAUAAUUUAGUGCUCAGUUUAGGAUGGUGAGGUCUCUUUCGUGUAAUUUUGUCUUCCUAUUUGACGCAACCCUCGCCACGUAUGACAGUCCACUUUAUAAAAUACAUCGUCAUUUGCAGCACACCUAGGCCAACUUUGCGGCAACGAUCUUUUAUUACAAAGUAUGAGACAUAAUGGUUCAAAUUACCUAAUCUUUGCUUUGGUCAACUGUUAAAGCUUCUACAAAUUCAAGUUUUUUGCAGGAAUCUCAUUGCGCUUGCUAUACUCUAUUUUUGCAAGCAUGGAAGCAUUAAUUUUUGCUCAGCUUAGUGUCAAAACAGCCUUAUUGGCUUUUGCUAUGUAUCCCAUAUAGAAAAAUAUAGCUUCUCAUAAAGUUUUUAUAGUCCUAAUUUAUUUUACCAUCUAAUAUAAUUUGCUGUUGUCUUCAA